CUGGAGCGGCAACUACUGAAAUUGAGUUAGCUAAGAGAGUAAAGGAAUUCUCUUUUACAGAAACAUGAUUGGAUCAGUAUGCUAUAGCAAAAUUUGCCGAAAGCUUUGAGAUGGUGCCUAAAACGCUAGCUGAAAAUGCUGGGCUUAAUGCAAUGGAGAUCAUAUCUUCUCUAUAUGCUGAACAUGCAUCAGGAAAUACCAAAGUUGGCCUCGACUUGGAGGAAGGCCGUUGCAAAGAUGUGUCAACUCUUAAUAUUUGGGACCUCCACAUAACUAAGUAAGCUGCUCUUUGUCUUGUAACAGUUCAUGCUUUUAUGUGAAAGUUCUCAAUACAUUGAAUGUUGUUACAGCUGUGAUGUUUGAUGCAAUUUUGGUUCUGAAUUUUCAUUAAUUUUGGAUCUAGAAUUUGUUUGUAGAGGAAGCUUUUAUUAGUAAUCCCAUUUUUGGUGGUUUUGAUAGCCAAUUAGUUCCUGUUGCGUACAUUAAUGGUUCAUCUUAUUGGUAUCCUUUCUGUUGAUUUUCUGUAUCAAAGUGUGACUAACUGGCAUGGGUGUUUUGAGGAUUGUGGUGCAUUUUGAAGUCCAUUGGCCGGCUAAUAGGGCUAGGAGGUUAUGCAUAUA